rnacentral:misc_RNA from 1 species
CCGAGUUAUUACUCCAAACCCUUUGUGAACCUUACCGAUUACUGCUGUUGCCUCGGCGGACGGCUGGGAGGGCACCCUCCGGGGUCGCCCGACCGCCCCCGCCGGCAGCACCAAACUCUUGAAUUUAUAGCGAAUAUACUUCUGAAUAACAAAAACAAACAAAUCA